UCAAAUUUCGCUCAUCCGUGGCGUUGAAGACGACGAUCGCCACUUCUUGUUAUUUUACUGCUGGCUGACGACUGAUAACUCAAAGACCGUGAUUGCUAGGUAGCCAAACAUAAGGUAGGGUCAGUUAUUUGAGGUUUUUGUUACGUGCUUGCAGUUCCGAGUGAUGCCAGUUGAAAGAUUCCUCUUCCGAUCAUGUAGAUGAUGACUGCAGUCUAUCUGGUUUGCGUGUCUGAACGCAACGAAAUCUCCUGUAUUUCAUUCGAACUUCCUGGACUCGCAAAAAAGUUUUGGACAUUGACUAAAAAACAUUCCACUUGUUCUCAACGAAUCAACCAUCACAACCAUAUCUUAUCAGGAAACGAAAGCUGCAUUUGCCGUUUCGAAGAGAUCGCUACGUGUCGUCAUCGAUGUGACGUCGACUCUCUCACUUGGCAGGCUCCGUGCGAUUCAAGUUUACUGACAUCAUACCCGCUAAGAGUUGAUUUCAUUUUCAGCGACGUUCCAUGGCUCGAUUCAACGAUCUCUGCGGUUGGCUCUGUUAGGUACGAUGGCGUGAAUUAGUCAGUUGACCGACGUUCAAUCGCGCGGAUCAACCAAAACUUUCCGACUGGCUGAACAGCGGUGAGCCUCGACCGUGAAUGGAUUUAUUGCAAUGGCAACAUCAUUAUCGAUACAGGUUAACUUUGUACUAUUUACAAUAAAUAUUCAUUAGGGUUUUUUUUUUCAUAUAUUCAUGCGAAAAUCAACGCAAUGAAACAGAAUAUCAAUGAUCAAUAUAUAGUGUAAUUAAUUUUCAAUAAGGUUCAAAUAAUGUAUAAUGACCCCACAGUUAUGGAUCAAUUAGUGUCAAAUCCAACCUAUUCAAUUCAAAAUGAACAAUAAAGAAUACAUAAAAUUUAAAUGGAAAA